rnacentral:ncRNA from 2 species
CAAAAUCUUCAGGGCAGAGUGAAAUUCUCGACUGGCGGUAAACUCCGCAAGCCUUCGGGCAGAACCGUUGAAAUUACGGUAGCAACAGUAAAGUCUGGAUGAAAGAAGAUUCCA